rnacentral:rRNA from 1 species
UGGGGAAUUUUGGACAAUGGGCGAAAGCCUGAUCCAGCAAUGCCGCGUGUGUGAAGAAGGCCUUCGGGUUGUAAAGCACUUUUGUCCGGAAAGAAAUCCUUGGCUCUAAUACAGUCGGGGGAUGACGGUACCGGAAGAAUAAGCACCGGCUAACUACGUGCCAGCAGCCGCGGUAAUACGUAGGGUGCAAGUGUUAAUCGGAAUUACUGGGCGUAAAGCGUGCGCAGGCGGUUUGCUAAGACCGAUGUGAAAUCCCCGGGCUCAACCUGGGAACUGCAUUGGUGACUGGCAGGCUAGAGUAUGGCAGAGGGGGGUAGAAUUCCACGUGUAGCAGUGAAAUGCGUAGAGAUGUGGAGGAAUACCGAUGGCGAAGGCAGCCCCCUGGGCCAAUACUGACGCUCAUGCACGAAAGCGUGGGGAGCAAACAGGAUUAGAUACCCUGGUAGUCCACGCCCUAAACGAUGUCAACUAGUUGUUGGGGAUUCAUUUCCUUAGUAACGUAGCUAACGCGUGAAGUUGACCGCCUGGGGAGUACGGUCGCAAGAUUAAAACUCAAAGGAAUUGACGGGGUCAUAGCUGUUUCCU